rnacentral:rRNA from 1 species
GGGGGUAAUUUUAAUUAAAUUAUAAAUAAUAAAAAAAAUUUUAAUUAUAAAUAUUAUAAUGGGGGUUAAAGUAUUUUAUAAGAAAAAAUUUUUAAAUUUAUAGUAAAUUAGUAUUGUGAAGGAAAAUUGAAAUAUAUGAAAAUUAAUUAAUAUAUAAGUAAAUUUAAUUUGUUGUAUCUUGUGUAUCAGAGUUUAUUAAAAAUAAUUUUUAAAUAAAAAAUUCUCGAAUUUAAAAGAGUUAAUUAGUUAAAAAGUUAUUGUUUCAUAAAUAUUUUUAAUAAUUAAUUUGAAAUGAAAUGUUAAUCGUUUUUAAAUAUAUCUAGUUUUUUUAGAAAUAAAUUUAAUUUAGAAUUAAAUUUUUAUAAAAUUAAAUAUUUAAUUUUAUAAAGAUUUAAUUUAAUAUUUUAAGGGAUAAUCUUUAAAUUAAAUUUUUAUAAUAAUAAAUUAUUAAUUUUAAAAUCUUUAAAAUUUAUAUUGUUUAUAAAUUAUAUUUUUUUAUAAAAAAUUUUAAUAUUUAUAAAAAAUUUUUAAUUAAAAUUUAAAUUUUUAUAAAAAAAUAAUUUUUAAUUUAAUAAAAUUAGGUAUAAUGAUAAAAUUAGUAUAAUAUUGGUAUUAAAUAAAUAAUUAAUUUAUUUAAAAUUAAAAUAAAGGAAUUCGGCAAAUAUUGAUAUUCACUUGUUUAUCAAAAACAUGUCUUUUUGAAUAAUAAUUUAAAGUCGAAUCUGCCCACUGAUGUAAUAUUAAAGGGCUGCAGUAUAUUGACUGUACAAAGGUAGCAUAAUCAUUAGUCUUUUAAUUGAAGACUUGUAUGAAUGAUUUGAUGAAAUAUAAACUGUCUCUAUUUUAUAAUUAGAAUUUAAUUUUUUAGUAAAAAAGCUAAAAUAAUUAAAAAAGACGAGAAGACCCUAUAGAGUUUUAUAAUUAAUUUUAUUAAAAUUUUUUGUAAAUAUUAAAUAAAAAUAAUUUAAAUUAUUUUAUUGGGGUGAUAAAAAAAUUAAUUAAACUUUUUUUUAAUUUAAAUACUGAUAAGUAUAACAAUGAUCCAUAUUUUAUGAUUAUAAGAAAAAAUUACCUUAGGGAUAACAGCGUAAUUUUUUUUUUUAGUUCAAAUAGAAAAGAAAGUUUGCGACCUCGAUGUUGGAUUAAGAUAAAAUUUAAAUGCAGAAGUUUAAAAUUUUGAUCUGUUCGAUCAUUAAAAUCUUACAUGAUCUGAGUUCAAACCGGGGUGAGCCAGGUUGGUUUCUAUCUUUUUAUAUAUAAAAUAUUUUAGUACGAAAGGAUUAAAUAUUUAAAAAAUUUUUAAAAUAUGAAUUUUAUUAAUUAAUAUAUAUAUAUAUAUAAAUAGUAAAAAAAUUU